GCUGGUCAUUUAGAUGAUUGUGCCAAAGGCGUUCGUUCAAAGAAGAAGCAUGGGUCUUUAAUUCCUGGGAUAUUCCUUAUUUUAUGUCCGCACGGUAUUUGUUACGGCUUUCAAGUGAUGCCCGAUCAUGAAUCACCCAAUGUUCCUUUUACCAUUUUAAGAACUCGAUUUUCUGAAGCUCCUGAACUAGUGAUCUAUGACAACGCGUGCAAACUACACGAGUACUGCCUUAACCGCGAUCCUGCUUUUUAAAAAUCCAAAUUCAUCGUCGACAAGUUUCAUUGGAGAAACCAUUCUGGUUGCUCUGAGGGAUACGAUAUUAAUAGAUAUCCCAUUUUAAAAACGCACAACAGCCAAGCUGCAGAGCAGUGUAACUCUGUAAUGAAGCCACUUGCGUCAAUGGUUUCAUACAUGGAAUAUGACAACUUUUUGCUAUUUUCGAAAUUGUAUAUUUGGUACAGAAACAUGUUGCGCAUAAUAAAAUGCAAUCCUGGACGGGAUGUUCCAGAGAGG